GACGAACGCUGGCGGCGUGCUUAACACAUGCAAGUCGAACGGAAAGGCCCUGCUUUUGUGGGGUGCUCGAGUGGCGAACGGGUGAGUAACACGUGAGUAACCUGCCCUUGACUUUGGGAUAACUUCAGGAAACUGGGGCUAAUACCGGAUAGGAGCUCCUGCUGCAUGGGGGGGUUUGGAAAGUUUCGGCGGUUGGGGAUGGACUCGCGGCUUAUCAGCUUGUGGGUGGGGUAGUGGCUUAUCAAGGCUUUGACGGGUAGCCGGCCUGAGAGGGUGACCGGGCACCUUGCGCCUGCGAUACGGCCCAGACUCCUACGGGAGGCAGCAGUCGGGAAUCUUGCCCAAUGGGCCCACGCCUGAUGAAGAAACGCCGCGUGCGGGAUGCCGGCCUUCGGGUUGUAAACCGCUUUAGCCUGUGACGAAGCGUGAGUGACGGUAAUGGGUAAAGAAGCACCGGCUAACUACGUG
rnacentral:rRNA from 1 species